AACGAACGCUGGCGGCAGGCCUAACACAUGCAAGUCGAGCGGCAGCGCGGGGGCAACCCUGGCGGCGAGCGGCGAACGGGUGAGUAAUACAUGGGAAUCUGCCUGGUAGUGGGGGAUAACUCUGGGAAACUAGAGGUAAUACCGCAUACGUCCUACGGGAGGAAAGGGGGGAUCUUCGGACCCUCUCGCUAUCAGAGGAGCCCAUGUCCGAUUAGCUAGUUGGUGAGGUAAAGGCUCACCAAGGCGACGAUCGGUAACUGGUCUGAGAGGAUGGUCAGCCACACUGGAACAGAGACACGGUCCAGACUCCUACGGGAGGCAGCAGUGGGGGAAUAUUGGACAAGUGGGGGCAACCCUGAUCCAGCCAUGCCGCGUGUGUGAAGAA
rnacentral:rRNA from 1 species